UACAGAGGGUGCAAGCGUUGUCCGGAUUUAUUGGGCGUAAAGCGUCUGUAGGCGGUCUACCAAGUCCGAAGUGAAAGAAUGGGGCUUAACUCCAUCCACGCUUUGGAAACUGGUAGACUAGAGACUGUUAGAGGUAAGUGGAAUUUCCAGUGUAGCGGUGAAAUGCGUAGAUAUUGGAAGGAACACCAGAGGCGAAGGCGGCUUACUGGGACAGUUCUGACGCUGAGAGACGAAAGCUAGGGGAGCGAAAGGG
rnacentral:rRNA from 1 species